CCUACGGGAGGCAGCCGUGAGGAAUAUUGGUCAAUGGGCGCGAGCCUGAACCAGCCAAGUAGCGUGAAGGCUGACUGCCCUACGGGUUGUAAACUUCUUUUAUAAAGGAUUAAAGUGAGGCACGUGGGCCUUUUUGUAUGUACUUUAUGAAAAAGGAUCGGCUAACUCCGUGACAGCAGCAGCGGUAAUACGGAGGAUCCGAGGUUUAUCCGGAUUUAUUGGGUUUAAAGGGGGCGUAGAUGGGUUGUUAAGUCAGUUGUGAAAGGUUGCGGCUCAACCGUAAAAUUGCAAUUGAUACUGGCAGUCUUGAGUACAGUUGAGGUAGGCGGAAUGCGUGGUGUAGCGGUGAAAUGCUUAGAUAUCACGAAGAACUCCGAUUGCGAAGGCAGCUUACUAAACUGCCACUGACAUUGAUGCUCGAAAGUGUGGGUAUCAAACAGGAUUAGAUACCCGAGUAGUC
rnacentral:rRNA from 1 species